AAAAGACCUGUCAAAGGACCCCUAAACUCUGUUUUUACAACUGUAUCUCUGAGUCUAUUAUACAAAUAAGUUAAAACUUUCAACAACGGAUCUCUUGGCUCUGGCAUCGAUGAAGAACGCAGCGAAAUGCGAUAAGUAAUGUGAAUUGCAGAAUUCAGUGAAUCAUCGAAUCUUUGAACGCACAUUGCGCCUGAUAGUAUUCUGUCAGGCAUGCCUGUUCGAGCGUCAUUUCAACCCCCAAGCCCUAUUUGCUUGACGUUGGGAGUUUACGGAGACGUAAUUCCUCAAAUAUAGUGGCGGAGCUAGGUCGUGCUCUAAGCGUAGUAACCACAAUUCUCGCUUCUGCAGCCGGCUUAGGUCCUGCCGUAAAACCCCUAUAUUUUUUUAUUGGUUGACCUCGGAUCAGGUAGGAAUACCCGCUGAACUUAAGCAUAUCAAUAAGCGGAGGAAAAGAAACCAACAGGGAUUGCCCUAGUAACGGCGAGUGAAGCGGCAACAGCUCAAAUUUGAAAUCUGGCCUUCGGGUCCGAGUUGUAAUUUGCAGAGGAUGCUUUUGGCGCGGUGCCUUCCGAGUUCCCUGGAACGGGACGCCUUAGAGGGUGAGAGCCCCGUACGGUUGGACACCAAGCCUCUGUAAAGCUCCUUCGACGAGUCGAGUAGUUUGGGAAUGCUGCUCUAAAUGGGAGGUAAAUUUCUUCUAAAGCUAAAUACCGGCCAGAGACCGAUAGCGCACAAGUAGAGUGAUCGAAAGAUGAAAAGCACUUUGAAAAGAGGGUUAAAUAGCACGUGAAAUUGUUGAAAGGGAAGCGUUUACGGCCAGACCUUUUCCUGGCGGAUCAUCUGGUGUUCUCACCAGUGCACUCCGCCAGGU
rnacentral:rRNA from 1 species